rfam:Schistosoma mansoni strain Puerto Rico chromosome 4, complete genome
AUCCAGCUGACUAGUCUUAAAUAGGACGAAACACUCGUCCUGAAU